CCUACGGGAGGCUGCAGUGGGGAAUAUUGGACAAUGGGGGGAACCCUGAUCCAGCCAUGCCGCGUGUGUGAAGAAGGCCCUCGGGUUGUAAAGCACUUUCAGUGAGGAAGAACGCCUGGUGGUUAAUACCCAUCAGGAAAGACAUCACUCACAGAAGAAGCACCGGCUAACUCCGUGCCAGCAGCCGCGGUAAUACGGAGGGUGCGAGCGUUAAUCGGAAUUACUGGGCGUAAAGCGCGCGUAGGUGGCUUGAUAAGCCGGUUGUGAAAGCCCCGGGCUCAACCUGGGAACGGCAUCCGGAACUGUCAAGCUUGAGUGCAGGAGAGGUAGGUAGAAUUCCUGGUGUAGCGGUGAAAUGCGUAGAGAUCGGGAGGAAUACCAGUGGCGAAGGCGGCCUUCUAGACUGACACUGACACUGAGGUGCGAAAGCGUGGGUAGCAAACAGGAUUAGAUACCCGAGUAGUC
rnacentral:rRNA from 1 species